rnacentral:rRNA from 1 species
CCGAGAUUCCGGCAGUAGCGGCGAGCGAAACCGGAUUAGCCCUUAAGCUAAUCUUGCGUUAGGUGAACAUGCUGGAAAGCAUGGCAAUAAAGGGUGAUAGCCCCGUAACCAACAGCGCAUUUUCAGUGAAAUCGAGUAGGACGGGACACGUGUUAUCCUGUCUGAAUAUGGGGGGACCAUCCUCCAAGGCUAAAUACUCCUGACUGACCGAUAGUGAACCAGUACCGUGAGGGAAAGGCGAAA